rnacentral:rRNA from 1 species
AUGUACAUGCCUAUAAUGUUAAUGCACUAGAUCCCAUCAGAAAAUUGUAGUUAAGUGUGCUUAGACUAGAGUAGUACUGGGAUGAGUGACCUCCCAGGAAGUCCUAGUGUUUUACAUG